ensembl:lncRNA
GCUGGACAUGACCGCAAACACGCCCCCCUACACUUUUUACGUAGCCCGGCUGCUCGAGUGUUUUUGCUGGUUUACCACGACUGACGACUCGUUUAAUUAAGAGUCCAUAUUAUAUCAACAGCUACAAUCACCCUGGAGAGAAACUAGUGAGGGAGACCAUCAGGACCAAGCUGGGUUUCCUGGGUCCAGAGGUUUGGAGAAACUUCUUCCCUUUCUUUCAUCACAGCUGUCCUGUGCCAGAAGUUCUGUUGACCCGCUGUAAGAGGCAUCAUUUAAGAAACACCAGGAAGACUGAAGCUCAUCGCAUUGAUCAAGCAGGAUUCAUGAUCUUCACUAGCAGCUCCCUCACAGGGAAAUCUUCAGCACUCCUCCAUAGGCCCGAUCCAGGACAUGGAUAAACCCCAGCAUUUCAUGAACACUGUGAUGGAGACCUUUGCUUUGUGUAAUGUUAUAAAUACUCGGAUUCUCCCCAGAGGCUCCAGACUUUUACAUAAAGAUAUUAUAUUCAGUCCUGUAGAAAGUUAUAUAUUUAAAAAUAUGUGAUCCUCUCUGGUUACUCUGGUAUGAAUAACUCUGAAUCACUUUAUGGUAAAUAACACACUAUCUGCAAAAACUGUGAAAGAAUUCCAGAUGACAAGUUUGUAGUUCAACAUACAAGUGACGACCUUUGACCUUCAUCAGGUUUUAUUUAAGUGUGUUAGAGAAAAUCUCAUAUGCUCUUCAUGCAGCUGAGUACAUCAAGUGUUUAAAACGGAAGCUGUGCUGGUCUGAGAUACAAACUGAGGUCCUGUCAAUACUGAUAUAUAGUGACACAGUUACAUGAGUGAUUAAUCCUUUUGUUUUUUGUCCUUAAGUUUAUCAAUAAAGCUGCAGCUUUCACUACAGCACGUGUGGUAUUUUAACCUUUGUACUGUUUUCAUCAGUUCAUUUUGCAGUGAACAUGUUGGAUGAUCUGUCUGCUGUCACUGGAUGGUGCUGAGGUCUGAAUCUGAGGGCAGCCCCUGUAAUCACAAAGCGAACAGAACCAUCAAACUCGGAUAUAAAUUUUAUCCCUCAAAAUUGAAAUAAAGCUGAUUCUUCUGUCCUCACACACUCAGGAUCUGAAGUUCUUCUCUUACAUUUUUUCAGUAUUACAGUACACUACAGUACUUUAAUCCAUAGUUCCUGAUUAAUGAGGAGUUACUGAAGUACAAGCUUUUUAAAAAAAAUGUUACUGUCUUUACAGAUGUGGC